rnacentral:tRNA from 1 species
AUUCAAAUAGCUUAUAUUUAGAGCGUGACACUGAAGAUGUUAAAGAAAUUAUUUAAUUUUUGAAUA